rnacentral:rRNA from 1 species
AGUGAACGCUGGCGGCGUGCCUAAUACAUGCAAGUCGACGUCAGUGGCGCACGGGUGUGUAAUGUAUAGCUAAUCUGCCCUACACUCGAGGACAACAGUUGGAAACGAAUUCUAAUACACUAUAGUGUAGGAUGAUGCUAUAUUGUAUCAGCUAGUUGGUGAGGUAAGGGUUCACCAAGGCUAUGACGCAUAACUGGUCUGAGAGGAUGACCGGCCACACUGGAACUGAGACACGGUCCAGACUCCUACGGGAGGCAGCAGUGGGGAAUAUUGGACAAUGGGCGAAAGCCGGAUGCAGCAACGCCGCGUGAGUGAAGAAGGUUUUCGGAUCGUAAAACUCUGUUGUUAGAGAAGCGGUAUCUAACCAGAAAGCCACGGCUAACUACGUGCCAGCAGCCGCGGUAAUAC